AUUGAACGCUGGCGGAAUGCUUUACACAUGCAAGCCGAACGGCAGCACGGACUUCGGUCUGGUGGCGAGUGGCGAACGGGUGAGUAAUGUAUCGGAACGUGCCCAGUCGUGGGGGAUAACGUAGUGAAAAUUACGCUAAUACCGCAUACGAUCUAUGGAUGAAAGCGGGGGAUCGCAAGACCUCGAGCGAUUGGAGCGGCGGAUAUCAGAUUAGGUAGUUGGUGGGGUAAAGGCCCACCAAGCCAACGAUCUGUAGCUGGUCUGAGAGGACGACCAGCCACACUGGAACUGAGACACGGUCCAGACUCCUACGGGAGGCAGCAGUGGGGAAUUUUGGACAAUGGGCGAAAGCCUGAUCCAGCCAUUCCGCGUGCAGGAUGAAGGCCCUCGGGUUGUAAACUGCUUUUGUACAGAACGAAAAGGUUUCCACUAAUACUAGGAGCUCAUGACGGUACUGUAAGAAUAAGCACCGGCUAACUACGUGCCAGCAGCCGCCGUAA
rnacentral:rRNA from 1 species